rnacentral:lncRNA from 1 species
GCUUCUUUUAGCCUUGCAUCUCCAGUUUGGAAAUUCAUAUUAAACUUUAUUGGAACAGGACGUGAGUACAGUGUGUUGCUGAGAAGUUGGACUGUUCUUUAUAAUAGUCUUCUAAGAUGAAACUCAUGUCCCAGAUGGAAUUUCGAAUGUAGAAAUCUUUAAGGGGCAUUACAAUUCUGCAUACCCAGCUGUCUCACCACCAUCGCAAACCAAACAACUCAAGUCAUCUCCACCAUGGUAUCUGAAAUGCCUUCAAGAGGGAAUGCUGAUGUCACAGAUUACCUUCUGGAGAGCAAGAAUUCAUCGGGCUCUUGUGUCUUCUGAGUGUUUCUAGAAUGCAUGCUGUUUUCCUUGAAUUCAUUCUCCCAUCCAAGCCUAGAGGAGAGACUAAUGGCAUGGGAGCCCCAAACCUUCACAGAUGAUGCGGGACCCUGUAUGGACUAGGAGGUGGAGUGAGUGGCCUCUCUCUCUCUGAAGUCUCCAUCAGGCCAUUUAAAGGCUGUCGAUGCUUAUAUUGCCUCUGUGUCUUUGGAGGACUCAUUGCCUCUCCCCUAUUUAAGCAUUUUAGGUGUGUGAUUUAAGAUGUUUGGUGGGUUGGUCCCAGUAAAUUGCCCAUCCCAGGUUCACUUUGGUCACCAGUCCUAAUGUUGAUGAAAUAGACACUGUUUAUUGAGCUCCUAUUGUGUACGUGGGG